rnacentral:lncRNA from 10 species
GUUUUACAGGUUAGGGCUAAGCAGUGGAAAGUUACAGUUAGGGGACGUUUAUUGCGGGCGGGGAAGAAUGUCACAAGGUACAUUAUCACAAGGUGGGAGGGGUCACAGGGCACAGUGUCACGAGGUUGAUCAGUUAGGGUAGAGCAUGUUACAAGGGUAGAAUGUUGCAAGGCUGGCUAAUCAGCUAAGACAGGAACUAGCUGUUUUUUCUUCCUUUGUGGUUUUCCUGUUGUCCCAGACUUUCUGGCUCCAGGAGACCUUCUGGAUGUGUACGUGUGGAUCACAGGGAUCAUAAUGGCUUCACCACGGCAUAGCCUGUUCAGAGGACCUUACAAAAUUGUGCAUCAUGAAAUUUAUCAACUACUUAUAGUAAAGGAAUGACAAAAAUAAAUUUAAAAGGAGGGGUUAGCUUCCACCACCUAGACUACUAUCAUAUGCUUUUAUAUUCCUAUAUGCACAGCAUAUGCUUCUAUAUAUGUUAGACAUCUUAAUAUACCCUGGGUUAGCGGCAGCGUAAGAUGGUGUUUAAGAAGAAAGGCUCUGCAAGACUCCGUCUCAAAAAAAGAAAAAUAAAAAAAAGAAGAAGAAAGGCUCUGGAGGCAGAUAUACUGCAGCCAGAUCCCGGCCCAAUAGGUCAGUUAUUUAGUUUCUCUAAACCCCGCUUUCUUUAUCUGUAAAAUGGCGAGAGUGAUGGUAAUAACUGCAUAGGGGCAGGUGAGGAUUAAACGACAAAGUGGAUGCCUGGGUCUUUUGUGCAGUGACUUGCAGAUAGUAGUCAUUAUACACAUUUGUCUAUUAUGGAAUCCUGUCAUCUUUUUGUUUGCUCAAACUAUACAGUGCUUUUUUUUGCCCAGUAAUCUACUCAACCAUCAUAAUUCAGCAUUAAGUAUUUAUUAUGUUUCUUUAAACCUUUUGAUUACAUUAGUUGUGAGUCCAGAACCAGCUUAAGUGACUGGCUGAGCUUGUGUAAAACAUGAGACUGAGGGAAAAGAGGUAGUUUUAUAUGCAUGCAAUAUAAAACGCUAGAUAUUUUCUUAAGCUACAUGAGCAUGUUCUAAUAAAGGCAGGCAGCAGAUGAGAAGAAUUUAUAAUAGCUACAUUCCAUAUAUUCUUGUUUCUGCUUCAUAAUUUGUCUUCGGUGAGUAUGUAAUUUUUUUUCACAGUAGUUAUUCCCAGCUGCAUAUGUGUGCUGCAGAAAGAAAGAGCAUAUGGAAUAUAUACCGUGUAUAUAUACAUAUAGAGAUAUUCUGGCACUGGGCAUGUGGAUUCACAUGCAUAUACAUGCACACACUCGUACUAUCAGUCUAUGUAUGUCUAUAUGUAGAGAGAGACAAAUAUAUGUAUAGAUAUACAUUCCUUCUGCUCUUUUCAUUGUGUUAUGCAUGUCAGAGGCAGUGAGAGUUCUGUUCUCCUCCCUAUUCCCCACCCCCCACAAGCUGGAGGGCCAGAAGGUGGGGCGGUACCUCAGGAUAAUGGCAGCAGAAGGCAAAGGGAGCAGACAGCUGGCAAGCUCUGUCCCAAUAUGCUUCCCUGAAAGAGGCGAGGAAAUUUCAGAAGAUGCAAUGCCUGAAUGGCUCACUUUGCAGGAAAACAGAAGAACCAAGAGUGAACAGGAAACCUACAGAAUAGGAGAAAAUUUUUGCAAUCUACUCAUCUGACAAAAGGCUAAUAUCCAGAAUCUACAAAGAACUCAAACAAAUUUACAAGCACAAAACGAACAACCCCAUCAACAAGUGGGCAAAGGACAUGAACAGACACUUCUCAAAAGAAGACAUUUAUGCAGCCAACAGACACAUGAAAAAAUGCUCAUCAUCACUGCCCAGCUAAAUCUUGACUUCUAUUGAAGAAGUGAAGGAUGGAUUUUGUAAGCCUACCAGCAGCCAAAGGAGACUAAGAGGAGUCAUUCAGGAAUAUGAGGGUUAUGAAGACAGUGGUGUCCCAGAAACCAAGGAGAAGAGGAUGUUGCAUGAAGAAGGAGAUGAUGGUUUCACUUUGGUUACAUUUAUCCAAAUGCCCCGUCCAACUCUUCAGUGUCCCUAGUAAAAUCUGGUAUAGAGAUGGACACUGUUUUUUAGGUGAGGCCUGCUGAGUGUGGAGAGUUGUGAAAAAUUUUUCCCUUAAAUUGAGAAUGUUUUAAAUAAUGCAGCCUAUGUUUUCUUUAAGUAACAAGGCCAUCCCACUGACUCACACUGAUCUUGUUCUCAGCAAAAAACUCCCUGCUCUUCCUCAUAUUAAUUGCCAUAAAAACAAGUCACUUCUAUCAUGCAUUUGGCUCAUUGAGUUAUGAAAAUAUGUAGGUAUUUCGUUUCUUUUUAUGUAAAUUUAUGCUGGUUUUAGUCCAUCAUUUGAAGUCCAGAAGUCUUCUGGAACUUAACUGUGUCUGUAUUAGUUGUCUUUUCCAUCUUGUGGUUUAUGGUAAAAUUAAUAAAAGGCCUUGCAAACCAGUAACAACAGCUGCCGUUUACUGUGUGCCUAUUGCUCAAUGCCUGUUGAUAGAGUCCACUGGGGUGCUGGCUGGCUGCCCUCUCAUUUAAUUUUUGAACAUUCUCAUAAGGUCAUUUUGUUUGUUUGUUUUCUGGCCUGAGUAUUGUAUUAAUUACAUAAAAGAAAACUUUGGGGAAAUAUUGUUAAUUUUUGACAGGAUUUUCCAACACUAAUACUAGUACUGUUAUUACAGCUACCAUACAACUCUGACCACUAAAGAAUUUUUGUUUUUAAGAAUUUGGAAAUUAUUUUAUUAUGAUAUCAUUUAUGUACAUUAAAAUUCAUUCUCAUUGGUGCACAGUUCUAUUUGUUUUGACAAGCUCACACAGUCAUGUAACCAUCACCACAAUCAAAAUAUAGAACAGUUUUAAUAACAAUUUCUUUAUGUUCUUUAUAGUCAUACCUUCCCUCACCCACUUUAUGUCCCUAACAUUUUGCCUUUUCCAAAAAUGGAACAUAAAUUGAAUUAUAUUGUAUGUAGC